CCAUAGGGCAGGUAAGGAGCCUAUCUCCUGUUUCUGUAGAGAGACAUAAUGUAAAGAGAAGGAUGUAGUCUAGGUAACGGUGGGGACCUGUUAACAGUCCAUAAUGUAAAGAGAAGGAUGUAGUCUAGGUAACGGUGGGGACCUGUUAACAGUCCAUAAUGUAAAGAGAAGGAUGUAGUCUAGGUAACGGUGGUGGCCUGUUAACAGUCCAUAAUGUAAAGAGAAGGAUGUAGUCUAGGUAACGGUGGUGACCUGUUAACAGUCCAUAAUGUAAAGAGAAGGAUGUAGUCUAGGUAACGGUGGUGGCCUGUUAACAGUCCAUAAUGUAAAGAGAAGGAUGUAGUCUAGGUAACGGUGGUGGCCUGUUAACAGUCCAUAAUGUAAAGAGAAGGAUGUAGUCUAGGUAACGGUGGGGACCUGUUAACAGUCCAUAAUGUAAAGAGAAGGAUGUAGUCUAGGUAACGGUGGGGACCUGUUAACAGUCCAUAAUGUAAAGAGAAGGAUGUAGUCUAGGUAACGGUGGUGGCCUGUUAACAGUCCAUAAUGUAAAGAGAAGGAUGUAGUCUAGGUAACGGUGGUGGCCUGUUAACAGUCCAUAAUGUAAAGAGAAGGAUGUAGUCUAGGUAACGGUGGUGACCUGUUAACAGUCCAUAAUGUAAAGAGAAGGAUGUAGUCUAGGUAACGGUGGUGACCUGUUAACAGUCCAUAAUGUAAAGAGAAGGAUGUAGUCUAGGUAACGGUGGUGACCUGUUAACAGUCCAUAAUGUAAAGAGAAGGAUGUAGUCUAGGUAACGGUGGGGACCUGUUAACAGUCCAUAAUGUAAAGAGAAGGAUGUAGUCUAGGUAACGGUGGUGGCCUGUUAACAGUCCAUAAUGUAAAGAGAAGGAUGUAGUCUAGGUAACGGUGGGGACCUGUUAACAGUCCAUAAUGUAAAGAGAAGGAUGUAGUCUAGGUAACGGUGGGGACCUGUUAACAGUCCAUAAUGUAAAGAGAAGGAUGUAGUCUAGGUAACGGUGGUGGCCUGUUAACAGUCCAUAAUGUAAAGAGAAGGAUGUAGUCUAGGUAACGGUGGUGACCUGUUAACAGUCCAUAAUGUAAAGAGAAGGAUGUAGUCUAGGUAACGGUGGUGACCUGUUAACAGUCCAUAAUGUAAAGAGAAGGAUGUAGUCUAGGUAACGGUGGGGACCUGUUAACAGUCCAUAAUGUAAAGAGAAGGAUGUAGUCUAGGUAACGGUGGUGGCCUGUUAACAGUCCAUAAUGUAAAGAGAAGGAUGUAGUCUAGGUAACGGUGGGGACCUGUUAACAGUCCAUAAUGUAAAGAGAAGGAUGUAGUCUAGGUAACGGUGGUGACCUGUUAACAGUCCAUAAUGUAAAGAGAAGGAUGUAGUCUAGGUAACGGUGGGGACCUGUUAACAGUCCAUAAUGUAAAGAGAAGGAUGUAGUCUAGGUAACGGUGGGGACCUGUUAACAGUCCAUAAUGUAAAGAGAAGGAUGUAGUCUAGGUAACGGUGGUGGCCUGUUAACAGUCCAUAAUGUAAAGAGAAGGAUGUAGUCUAGGUAACGGUGGUGACCUGUUAACAGUCCAUAAUGUAAAGAGAAGGAUGUAGUCUAGGUAACGGUGGGGACCUGUUAACAGUCCAUAAUGUAAAGAGAAGGAUGUAGUCUAGGUAACGGUGGGGACCUGUUAACAGUCCAUAAUGUAAAGAGAAGGAUGUAGUCUAGGUAACGGUGGUGGCCUGUUAACAGUCCAUAAUGUAAAGAGAAGGAUGUAGUCUAGGUAACGGUGGUGACCUGUUAACAGUCCAUAAUGUAAAGAGAAGGAUGUAGUCUAGGUAACGGUGGUGACCUGUUAACAGUCCAUAAUGUAAAGAGAAGGAUGUAGUCUAGGUAACGGUGGUGGCCUGUUAACAGUCCAUAAUGUAAAGAGAAGGAUGUAGUCUAGGUAACGGUGGGGACCUGUUAACAGUCCAUAAUGUAAAGAGAAGGAUGUAGUCUAGGUAACGGUGGUGACCUGUUAACAGUCCAUAAUGUAAAGAGAAGGAUGUAGUCUAGGUAACGGUGGUGGCCUGUUAACAGUCCAUAAUGUAAAGAGAAGGAUGUAGUCUAGGUAACGGUGGGGACCUGUUAACAGUCCAUAAUGUAAAGAGAAGGAUGUAGUCUAGGUAACGGUGGUGGCCUGUUAACAGUCCAUAAUGUAAAGAGAAGGAUGUAGUCUAGGUAACGGUGGUGACCUGUUAACAGUCCAUAAUGUAAAGAGAAGGAUGUAGUCUAGGUAACGGUGGUGACCUGUUAACAGUCCAUAAUGUAAAGAGAAGGAUGUAGUCUAGGUAACGGUGGUGGCCUGUUAACAGUCCAUAAUGUAAAGAGAAGGAUGUAGUCUAGGUAACGGUGGUGACCUGUUAACAGUCCAUAAUGUAAAGAGAAGGAUGUAGUCUAGGUAACGGUGGUGACCUGUUAACAGUCCAUAAUGUAAAGAGAAGGAUGUAGUCUAGGUAACGGUGGUGACCUGUUAACAGUCCAUAAUGUAAAGAGAAGGAUGUAGUCUAGGUAACGGUGGUGGCCUGUUAACAGUCCAUAAUGUAAAGAGAAGGAUGUAGUCUAGGUAACGGUGGUGACCUGUUAACAGUCCAUAAUGUAAAGAGAAGGAUGUAGUCUAGGUAACGGUGGUGGCCUGUUAACAGUCCAUAAUGUAAAGAGAAGGAUGUAGUCUAGGUAACGGUGGUGACCUGUUAACAGUCCAUAAUGUAAAGAGAAGGAUGUAGUCUAGGUAACGGUGGUGGCCUGUUAACAGUCCAUAAUGUAAAGAGAAGGAUGUAGUCUAGGUAACGGUGGUGACCUGUUAACAGUCCAUAAUGUAAAGAGAAGGAUGUAGUCUAGGUAACGGUGGUGGCCUGUUAACAGUCCAUAAUGUAAAGAGAAGGAUGUAGUCUAGGUAACGGUGGUGGCCUGUUAACAGUCCAUAAUGUAAAGAGAAGGAUGUAGUCUAGGUAACGGUGGUGACCUGUUAACAGUCCAUAAUGUAAAGAGAAGGAUGUAGUCUAGGUAACGGUGGGGACCUGUUAACAGUCCAUAAUGUAAAGAGAAGGAUGUAGUCUAGGUAACGGUGGUGACCUGUUAACAGUCCAUAAUGUAAAGAGAAGGAUGUAGUCUAGGUAACGGUGGGGACCUGUUAACAGUCCAUAAUGUAAAGAGAAGGAUGUAGUCUAGGUAACGGUGGUGGCCUGUUAACAGUCCAUAAUGUAAAGAGAAGGAUGUAGUCUAGGUAACGGUGGUGACCUGUUAACAGUCCAUAAUGUAAAGAGAAGGAUGUAGGCUAGGUAACGGUGGUGGCCUGUUAACAGUCCAUAAUGUAAAGAGAAGGAUGUAGUCUAGGUAACGGUGGGGACCUGUUAACAGUCCAUAAUGUAAAGAGAAGGAUGUAGUCUAGGUAACGGUGGUGACCUGUUAACAGUCCAUAAUGUAAAGAGAAGGAUGUAGUCUAGGUAACGGUGGGGACCUGUUAACAGUCCAUAAUGUAAAGAGAAGGAUGUAGUCUAGGUAACGGUGGGGACCUGUUAACAGUCCAUAAUGUAAAGAGAAGGAUGUAGUCUAGGUAACGGUGGUGGCCUGUUAACAGUCCAUAAUGUAAAGAGAAGGAUGUAGUCUAGGUAACGGUGGUGACCUGUUAACAGUCCAUAAUGUAAAGAGAAGGAUGUAGUCUAGGUAACGGUGGUGACCUGUUAACAGUCCAUAAUGUAAAGAGAAGGAUGUAGUCUAGGUAACGGUGGGGACCUGUUAACAGUCCAUAAUGUAAAGAGAAGGAUGUAGUCUAGGUAACGGUGGGGACCUGUUAACAGUCCAUAAUGUAAAGAGAAGGAUGUAGUCUAGGUAACGGUGGUGACCUGUUAACAGUCCAUAAUGUAAAGAGAAGGAUGUAGUCUAGGUAACGGUGGUGGCCUGUUAACAGUCCAUAAUGUAAAGAGAAGGAUGUAGUCUAGGUAACGGUGGUGACCUGUUAACAGUCCAUAAUGUAAAGAGAAGGAUGUAGUCUAGGUAACGGUGGUGGCCUGUUAACAGUCCAUAAUGUAAAGAGAAGGAUGUAGUCUAGGUAACGGUGGUGACCUGUUAACAGUCCAUAAUGUAAAGAGAAGGAUGUAGUCUAGGUAACGGUGGGGACCUGUUAACAGUCCAUAAUGUAAAGAGAAGGAUGUAGUCUAGGUAACGGUGGGGACCUGUUAACAGUCCAUAAUGUAAAGAGAAGGAUGUAGUCUAGGUAACGGUGGUGGCCUGUUAACAGUCCAUAAUGUAAAGAGAAGGAUGUAGUCUAGGUAACGGUGGGGACCUGUUAACAGUCCAUAAUGUAAAGAGAAGGGUGUAGUCUAGGUAACGGUGGUGGCCUGUUAACAGUCCAUAAUGUAAAGAGAAGGAUGUAGUCUAGGUAACGGUGGGGACCUGUUAACAGUCCAUAAUGUAAAGAGAAGGAUGUAGUCUAGGUAACGGUGGUGACCUGUUAACAGUCCAUAAUGUAAAGAGAAGGAUGUAGGCUAGGUAACGGUGGUGAAGGGGUGUGUCGUGUCAUUUCGGGGUUCCUCGUCUCCAGGGGUAACGCAGCAGAAUGUGUGACAUCACAGCGUUCUUGUUUAUAACCUAACCCCUGCUCAGUUCACAUACAGACACAUCCUGACUCUACAGGAUAAAGAAGAGAUCUUAGACGAACCAAGAAAACAACAUUAAAGGAUCCUAAAGACUACUUUAAAACAACUUUUAGGAAACAGUAACCGGUUGGAUUACUACUCGAAGAGACAACUUGUUUUUCCUACGGAUUCCACUCAGUAUUAUUAUUAUCAUCUACUCUCCUGAAGAACAAUAUCAUUUAUUAUUUGGACCUUUUUUUUGUUUUUUUACUUUUUCUUCUCAAACAAAGAUGGCUGCUUCAUCUUCUUCUUCCACCCGUACCCUUCUCCUCCUCAUCCUCCUCUCCUCUCUGUCACUGAGUGUGGAGUCUCGACUCUCGUCCCAACCCUCGCCCCGACCAUCACCUCGGAAACACGACACACAGGUACUAGAUAAUCUCUUCAGCGCUCAGCUCCGCUCUCUGAUCCUCAACCAACCAGACAUCACCUCUGAAGGUUCCACUUCUGGCCCCUCCCAUUCCUACCAUCCUCCCUCCCAGGGAUUGGCUGGUCGCAGCAUGGGGGCGGGUCCUGUGGUCCCCAGGUUGUUCCUAGACUUUCUGCGCCAACAGAGGAUGUUCCGUGGGCGGAGCAGGAAGAGUGCCACCGCCAGGGGAUGCUUCGGCAUGAAGGUGGACCGCAUCGGAUCUAUCAGCGGUCUGGGAUGCUGAUUGGACAACCGCCAGUGGCCUUGUGUUCUGAUUGGCUACCUUUCACCCCACUACUUCCUGGGUGUGUCAGAGACCGAGGGAAGGCUGGGAGAUCUCUAACUGACAGACAGACGGAUGUAACUUUCCCACCCCUUGAUAUCUAACCGCUGAACUAUGAACUGUGAUCCUGUGUGACUGUAGCGGUCAUCUCCCAAAACCCCAAGUGACCUAUAGGUGUUCUGAGGCUUCCAUGUGAGAGCUGAUACUAAUGACCUUUGACCUCUAACCACUGGCUCUGUUACAGCCAGUACAACUAACCUAUUUGUGUAUAAUUUGUGUGUUUGUGUAUAAUUUGUGUGUAUGUAUAUAAUGUGGGUGUAUAAUGUUUGUCAUUCCAUUGUAUCCAUGUAUAACCUGACAGGCCUUCUGUUGUGUAAACUUGCAAGUGAAACUGAGACCAACAUGUGUCAAACAUGUUUACAUCUUCCCUGUAACACGCUACCAGUAACACGCUACCAUGACCUGCUGUGUGUUCUACUGUCUGUUCUCUGUAACAUGUUAACUAUGUAUUAGUCUGAUAUGGUUUACAUAUAUCACUGUCAGUGGAUCAGGACUGGGCUCAAAUCAGACUUCAAUACAGUGAAUUAUUUAAUGAAUCCAUCAUUCUGGUACUGAAAGCUGAAUUGGCCUCAACCCUGAGUCCAUAUGGAUGAAGAGAAGUGUUUGUAUCUACAUGCUGGAAGUCAAAGAACUUGUACUAGACUAAAUGAGUUCCUGUUUCUCUGAAAUAAUAAAACAGCUCUGGUCCUCCUGUUUCCAAACUGAA